UAUGUAAUGUACUCUUUCUUCGGAGCAUCGGUGACAGGUGGUGCAUGGUUGUCGUCAGCUCGUGUCGUGAGAUGUUGGGUUAAGUCCCGCAACGAGCGCAACCCCUGUCCUUAGUAGCCAGCAUUUUGGAUGGGCACUCUAGGGAGACUGCCAGGGAUAACCUGGAGGAAGGCGGGGAUGACGUCAAAUCAUCAUGCCCCUUAUGACUUGGGCUACACACGUGCUACAAUGGCGUAAACAAAGGGAAGCGAAACCGCGACUGCGAGCAAAUCUCAAAAAUAACGUCUCAGUUCGGACUGUAGUCUGCAACCCGACUACACGAAGCUGGAAUCGCUAGUAAUCGCAAAUCAAAAUGCUGCGGUGAAUACGUUCCCGGGUCUUG
rnacentral:rRNA from 1 species